GACGUAGGGCGCGAGCGUUGUCCGGAUUUAUUGGGCGUAAAGAGCUCGUAGGCGGCUUGUCGCGUCAACUGUGAAAACCCGUGGCUCAACCAUGUGGUCUGCAGUCGAUACGGGCAGGCUAGAAUUCGGUAGGGGAGACUGGAAUUCCUGGUGUAGCGGUGGAAUGCGCAGAUAUCAGGAGGAACACCAAUAGCGAAGGCAGCUCGCUGGGACGGUACUGACGCUAAGGCGCGAAAGCGUGGGGAGCGAACAGG
rnacentral:rRNA from 1 species